GUGGAAAGUUUCUACCUCUCCCGGCCGAGGCUGGGACAAGAGCUGCCCCGGGCGCCGCGGUGACAGGUUUCGCCCCCCUCCCCCUCCCGCAGCACCGGGAACAGCCGCAGCGACCCGGGGGCCGGUUCCUACGCGGCACUUAGCGCAGCGAGCGCUGGCCAACAAACUGAGCGGAGACGACGGGCGAGCAUCCCGCCCGCAGCCGGGGAACCCGAGAAGGACAGGAGCCGGGCAGGGAAGGAGCCAGGACGGGCGGCGGAGGAGGAGGAGGGCCGGAAAGUUGCACUCGGUGCUCUAGCACCGAGCCAAGUCGCCGGCAGGCCGGGACAGAAAAGUUCGCCGCCACAGCGGCCGUGGGAUGGCGGGGAGGAGGCGGGGGGGGGGGACGACUGGGGGCAUCGCUCCUCACCUUCUGGUCGACGAUGGAACAAGCCAUCUCCCGGACAUGGGCCAGGCUGAAGUCCCCUGAGGAGUCCUGCAGCAACAGCACGGGCUCCCGGCUCAGCCCGAUCUGGAGGUGGAAGGCGACGCCGCCGCCAGCAGCGGCAGCAGCAGCAGCCCCGGGCGGCGGCAGCGGGCUAGGCGGGCGGAGCAGCGGAGGAGCGCUCAUCGGGACCAGCCUGCCGCGGCGCCGCGGGGCCGGGGAAGGAGACAGAGACGCGGACGCCGCGGUGAAAAGUUCGCGGCCGCCCCGAAGGCGCCGGGCGAGUUUCUUCGCGAAGUUUCAGGGAAGUCCCGGUCGAGUUGCUCCCGAGUGAAAAUGGCGAGGGGGGGGGAAUAGGGGCGGAGGACCGGAGAGGAUGCAGACAGGAAAAGGCGGCGAGAGAGGAGAGGCGCGAGGAGGGAGCAGGGCCCGGCGCCGCCGAGGUGGUGCCGUCGCUCCGGCUGUUGGCGCUGUGCACGGCGCGGGGGCGGGACGGGCCGCGCCCUCAGCUGGGCCGUGCUGCGCCGCGCCGUUUCUCUACCACACGGCGGCCGCGGCCAGGACUGAGCUCGGCUUCGCGGGCACGGGGGUGUUCUCGUGACGUGUGCUGGGGACCCGCGGGUACCGGAGCUGUGGAGGGAAGAGCAUCCCCUUCCCCUCCCGCCUCCGCUGGAUAGAACCGUCUAAGCAGCCUUCGUGCCUUCCCCGGGACGCCUUUCCGGGCCGCAGGAGGAGGUAGAGCCCGAGGAACCUCCGGUUUGUAGGCAGCACGGAGAGUUCUCAGUGCAUGGCAGGAGGAACGAGGGACAGCCAGCUCCGUAGCCGCGAUAAACAGCUGCGGUUGGUGCUGAGGCGCUCCUGGCCUCCUCAGCGCGGGAACGAGCUAUUCCUCCUGACUUUCAGGAUCAGUGCAAGUCUCACACGUCUGUAGAAGUAGCACCGAUGGCAGGCAACAUUUAAACUUAAAAACAAACAACAAAAACAGCAACAUAAUCUCCACUUGGAAAUCUGUUAAGUCAGUGUGGACAAGAAUAUUUACAUUUUAGGUACCAGAGGUACUUAAAGCAGCUCUUACUGCACCCGAGAAGAUGGCGGCACUGAGUGAAUGUGAGGAUGAAAGUUGAUGAAAUUCACCACUUGUUUCUUUACAAACUGCUUUUCUGACCAAACAUGCAGCUGCAGUACUAUUUCAUUUUGAUGAACUGGUUCCUAAGGACAUGUUUUUACUGUGGUCAGCUUACUUCCCAGCUGAGCUUUGUACACACAUGCAGCACCUUGCUGUCAGUAUUUUUGAACCCAUUUAUUCUUAAGCAAAUUUUCUGACUAAAGUCGUUGCAUUUUGAUCUAAAUCUUCUACAGAAUGCCAAACCUAAUGAAAUGGACAGCACUGUAGAUUAAGAUGAUUCCUAGCUUCCCCUGGUGACUUUUUCUUAUCACAUUAGGAGUAAUAAUCAUCUUCAAGCACAUCCAUUGCCUUUACUGCUGUAAACCAUACUGCUGUCAUUGCCUGCAGCAUUUCUGUAGGAGCAGGUCAGUUGCAGCACAGCAUUGUACCCCAGCUGGUGCAGGUUACCAUUAUGAUGGUCUGUUUCCUCACAGUUUCCAAUGUACUAGACAUUUCUGUUUUGGAGUAUGCACAUUUGCACUCCCCUGUCAAAGCCUGCUGAGGACAACUACUACAAGCUUCUCAUAAUCCUGUGGUCCAGCCAACUGUCCUAUACAGGAAUCGGCACAGAAAGAGCAUGAGGUCUGUAUGCGCAUCCACAAAAGGAAGAGCAUAUGAGGUCAAAAUGCCAUCUCUGAAGGACUGCCAGAAGUUCAAAUGCAAAGUGAUGACAAACAAUGAAUGUCAGGAUUUUUCAGCAAUACUGUGAUAAGUAGAAGAUGGAUAAAUUCAUCCAUUCCAGGCCAAUCAGAAGGAAGAAACAGGAUUGCAGGCAUGCCUACUGAAAUCACUCAACCAAUUGAAGAAACAGAAUGAGAUCUGGAUUAUAGGGUUUCAGAUAAUACCAAGUCCCUUGUGAAAGCUUUUUGACUUCUGAUGACUUCAGUUCAAGUCCCAGUUGGGCUCCUGAUCAGCAGGGUAGCUGAUUUCCCAAUGAAGAAAGAGAGGAAAUGUGUAAACUUGUUGAAGUGCUCCACAAGCUCCAGCUUGCAAACCUCGCAGAGGCUGCAGUCCAUCCAGUGCUCAGACUCUCACCUAAUACAACAUACUAGAAAGAUGGAAUUUGUUCUGGACUUUUCAUACAGCAGGAGGAUGUGAGAUUAUUGGAUACAGUGGGAUACCCACCAUGAGGAAUACAUAGGAAAAAAGAUAACGAAGGCAAUAUCAAAGACCAGAAAUCUUAAGCCACUGAUUGGCCAUGGAAGGAUCUACUCAGAGCCUCC
rnacentral:lncRNA from 1 species